UCGAACGCUGAAGCCUGGUGCUUGCACCGGGUGGAUGAGUGGCGAACGGGUGAGUAACACGUGAGUAACCUGCCCCUGACUUCGGGAUAAGCCCGGGAAACUGGGUCUAAUACCGGAUACGACCGUCGGACGCAUGUCUGGUGGUGGAAAGUUUUUUCGGUUGGGGAUGGGCUCGCGGCCUAUCAGUUUGUUGGUGAGGUAAUGGCUCACCAAGACGACGACGGGUAGCCGGCCUGAGAGGGCGACCGGCCACACUGGGACUGAGACACGGCCCACACUCCUACGGGAGGCAGCAGUGGGGAAUAUUGCACAAUGGGGGAAACCCUGAUGCAGCGACGCAGCGUGCGGGAUGACGGCCUUCGGGUUGUAAACCGCUUUCAGCAGGGAAGAAGCGCAAGUGACGGUACCUGCAGAAGAAGUACCGGCUAACUACGUGCCAGCAGCCGCGGUAAUACGUAGGGUACGAGCGUUGUCCGGAAUUAUUGGGCGUAAAGAGCUCGUAGGUGGUUGGUCACGUCUGCUGUGGAAACGCAACGCUUAACGUUGCGCGUGCAGUGGGUACGGGCUGACUAGAGUGCAGUAGGGGAGUCUGGAAUUCCUGGUGUAGCGGUGAAAUGCGCAGAUAUCACGAGGAACACCGGUGGCGAAGGCGGGACUCUGGGCUGUAACUGACACUGAGGAGCGAAAGCAUGGGGAGCGAACAGGAUUAGAUACCCUGGUAGUCCAUGCCGUAAACGUUGGGCACUAGUGUGGGGGGCAUUCCACGUUCUCCGCGCCGUAGCUAACGCAUUAAGUGCCCCGCCUGGGGAGUACGGUCGCAAGGCUAAAACUCA
rnacentral:rRNA from 1 species